rnacentral:rRNA from 1 species
AGAGCGAACGCUGGCGGCAGGCCUAACACAUGCAAGUCGAGCGCCCCGCAAGGGGAGCGGCAGACGGGAGAGUAACACGUGGGAACGUACCCUUCAGUUCGGAACAACCCAGGGAAACUUGGGCUAAUACCGAAUACGUCCGUAAGGAGAAAGAUUUAUCGCUGAAGGAUCGGCCCGCGUCUGAUUAGCUUGUUGGUGAGGUAACGGCUCACCAAGGCGACGAUCAGUAGCUGGUCUGAGAGGAUGAUCAGCCUCACUGGGACUGAGACACGGCCCAGACUCCUACGGGAGGCAGCAGUGGGGAAUAUUGGACAAUGGGCGCAAGCCUGAUCCAGCCAUGCCGCGUGAGUGAUGACGGCCUUAGGGUUGUAAAGCUCUUUCGCUCGGGACGAUAAUGACGGUACCGAGAUAAGAACGCCCGGCUAACUUCGUAGCCAGCAGCCGC